rnacentral:tRNA from 1 species
UCCCUGGUGGUUCACUGGCUAAGACUCUGAACCCCAAAUGCAGGGGCCCUGGGUUCGAUCCCCGGUCAGGGAA